CUCACUAUAAAAGCCCAGGGCUCUCUGAGAGGCCACAUCUCCUUCUCACUAGAGCUUCCAACAAAGCAUGGCUGUCCUGGUGCUGCUCCUCUGCCUGGUGGCAUUUCCAAGUUGUGUCAUUUCCCAGGUACAGCUGAAGGAGACAGGACCUGGUCUGCUACAGCCCUCACAGACCCUGUCUCUCACCUGCACUGUCUCUGGGUUAUCAUUAACUGACAGUGAUAUACACUGGAUUCGCCAGCCUCCAGGAAAGGGUCUGGAGUGGAUGGGAAUAAUAUGGAGUGAUGGAAACACAAAGUACAGUUCAGCUCUCCAGUCUCGAAUCACCAUCAGCAGGGACACCUCCAAGAGUGAAGUCUUCUUAAAAUUGAACAAUGUGCACACUGAAGACACAGCCGUAUAUUACUGUGCCAGAGACACAGUGAGGAAACUCCAAUUUAAGCCUACACAAAAAUGCCUCCAAAUAGAGACAUCUGGGACCAGCAGAGGGCACUAAGAAACAACAGGGACU